GUAGGUAGAGAAUACUAAGGCGAAGAGAUAAUAUACUUGUAAAGGAACUCGGCAAACUGUCUUCAUAAGUUAGACGAUAUGAAGAACCACUGGAUGCUAUUAUUCCUUAUGUUUUAUUCAAGGUUAUUCUUAAUAAAAUAGAGAAGAGAUUUUCAUAAGCUUUACGCAAGUUAAGUUUAUAUAAGGAAGUGUAAAUCUACCCUUUAUUUAGGCUAGGUUGCUUUGUGUAUUACUAUAUUGGUAAUCCAGGGCCUUAAUAGUAUUUAAGUGGUGGCACAGAAUCGGAGGCCCCGACUGUUUACUUAAAACACAGCUUUCUGCGACGAAUAAUAUCUUUSUAUAGAAAGCGAAUUU
rnacentral:rRNA from 1 species